GCCUCAAUAGGAGGCCAUCCUGACCAAGAACCAUAUAUCACAGUAUGGGAAGACUUGGUGAUGUAUCCGCCGGACUGGGUCCGACCAUUUCUUCCAAGUGAUAAAAUAAGAGUCCUAGCCCCAUCCUACUCAUACUUUAGCCGGGGCGUACCUGUGACAACCAGAACUCUGGCUCUCACAGGAGUAGAAGAAGGGGUGACCAAUAAUGGGGGAGAUUAUGAAAAAUUGAAAGAACCAAGCCCUAAGACCAAGGUAUAUCCAGAGGUCGAGGGACCCCCUGAAUGGACUCCACCUGUAUCCACAUCUAUACCCACCGCCCCCCCCAACUGGACCCCAGUCCCCAGACGAGGGAGUACCUGUGCCGUAUAACACGGGGGGUUGGGAAGAAGGACCCUAUACCGGUACCAGGAGUAAACGGGGGAUAACACCUGAGGGACCAGGCUCCACUGUAGCCUUACCACUCCGGGCGGUGGGGCCAGCCCCCACAGAGCCAGAUGAGUUACAACCGUUACAGUACUGGCCCUUUUCGUCCUCCGAUUUGUACAACUGGAAAGCAAAUAACCCUUCUUUUUCUGAGAACUCUGCUGCCCUCAUAGGACUAGUCGAAUCCCUGAUGUACUCCCAUCAGCCCACAUGGGACGACUGCCAGCAGUUACUUCAAACACUUUUCACCACAGAGGAGCGAGAACGAAUCUUCUCGGAGGCACGGAAAACCCUACAGGAAGGCCAACCAGGCCAACCCCCUCGAACAGGAAUGGAAGUGGAGGCGUUGUUCCCAGCAGCGCGACCGCAAUGGGACUAUAAUACAGCAGCAGCACGCCUAAAAGCGUUGGAAGUAGUUAGAAAAGAAGUUUGGGAACAGUUGAAGAACCUCUACGACCCAGGCGAGGUGUCGAUGCCCCAUUCGUUCCAGGUCGGAGACAAAGUUCUGAUUAGACGACACCGAUCAGAGACGCUCGAACCUCGGUGGAAGGGACCAUAUGUGGUAUUGUUAACAACUCCCACCGCUGUAAAAGUCGAUGGGAUUACUGCGUGGGUACAUUCAGCGCAUGUAAAAAGGGCACCUAGAGAUAUACAAAAGGAUGAUUGGGUGGUGGAAAAGACUGAUAAUCCUCUUAAGCUUCGUGUGUUUCGGAAACCAAACCGAAACACCUAGGGAAAAUCUGUUGGUGGGACUAAUCCGAGAUUUCGGGAAGGCCCAAAAUGCGACCAGUAUCACUGCUUGUUUACCAUUACCACAAGCAGCUGGGGAGCCUAUUCCGUGGGGUAUAAUCCCGGCGGGACCACUACCAAAAUAUAAAAAUAAUGUAUCCCAAUUUUGUAAGAGUGUGCCCCGAACUAGGACUGGGGUAGGUCGGCGAUUUAUCAGGACACGAAAAUCACAGUGGAAAAUCAGGAAGGAAGACUGCAAACGAAAACUUAAUUCUGUAUAUAAAAAGGGAGGGAUCCAUUCUGUGGGGACGUGUUAUUUUGAUGAGGAAAAACAAGUUACAGUAACUACCACUGAAACUUACUCUGAAGUGGUAUGUCAGAAUAUCACACAAUUAGACCCCAAGGUCUGGCAAUCUAUCUGGGGACCCGCUAUUGCAGAAACUUUUAGCUACAUAGGACCAGUAAACUGGUGUGUGCAGUUUCAAGGAAAGCAGGAUCAACACUAUACACACACUUUUCAUGAGAUGACUUCUAAAAAAACGAAUGUGGAACACACACAUGGGUGGAACUGUACCAAAGUCCUCAACUGUGACACCCCGGAGAAGGAAAUAGGGAUUUUCCCCGUCCGUUAUCUGCUUAAGUGGGGAUGUGAAUGUCGAGGAUACAAACAUACCCUGCCACCACAUACUAAAGGUGGGUCAGAUGGGGAAAUGCUUGACUGCAAAUAUACUACAAUCCAGAGUCCUGGAAAUUUAGUAUGGGUCAUUAACGAACGGAAAUGGACCACACAUAUUUCCAUUGAUGGGCCUAUUAAUCAAAUUACCCUAGGGGUGCCCACACUGUGUCCCUACUGGAAAAAGUCUGGAGAAAAAGAACUUAUACCUCGAAAGAGGAGGGAUAUAAGUAAAGAAGGCGAGGAAGCCCCCAGUGAUGAAUGGCAGGAACCAAAAACUGCGAUAAAAAUAGGGUGGGCAAUUGAAUCCAUAUUUCCCCAAAUCGCAUCAUAUAGAAAUAGGGAGAUGCUUGAUAAAUUGUUGGCACAAACCGCGCGAUUAGCGGCUGUUACUAGAAAGGGAUUUAAAGAUAUGAAUUUCCAACUCCAGGCAACUAGCAAAAUGGCUCUGCAAAAUCGGAUGGCCCUUGAUAUGUUACUAUUAAAGGAACAUGGGGUUUGUGGGUAUCUAAAAAAUAAAAUAAGCGACUGUUGUAUACAUAUCCCAAAUGUUACGGAAGCUGUAGAAAACGAUAUUAACAAAUUACAUCAGAUAGAGGAAAAAACAAAAGGAAUUGAAGAGGAAGCCCGAAGAAAUUGGGUAGGGGAAGUAUUCAAUUCCCUAGGAAUACAUAUUGCUGAGUGGUUAUCUUCAUUAAUCCAAACUGUGAUAAUUACUAUUAUUCUUAUUGGUAUAAUCUUUAUUUCUUAUAAGUGUGUUUUAGGACUGUGCCUAAAGGGGUGGAAGAAGACUCCAAAAUGACAUCCAUAAUGUUAUAAGCAUAGAAUAGAAAUAUAAUGUUAGUAAGUGUUAGUCCUGACCACUGGCCUGGCCUCUCCAGAAAUUCUAAGAUUAGAAAUGUACAAAAGAAAAAGAGGGGAAUGAGAAGAGGCGAAACUGAGAAGAGGCAAAACAAACAAAAUGGAGUACGGCCUGCACACUAUGAGAACAACAACCGCCUCAGCGAAAGUGCAGUCUCAUUGAGACCGCUUCAUUUCCAAGAAGCAGAAGUUAAAGACAUUUCCUAAAAAAAGGCUGCGGCCUGUGGUUAUCAGGAGAGGCCAGACCGAGGGUCAAGAGCUUGUAACUAUUGUUUGAACCCUAUAUCUGUUGUGUGGCGUGUAAACCCUAUAAAAACCCUUUCCUACUGAGCACCAGGGUCGCCUCCUCUGACUCCUGCGUGAGUUACGAGACGACCCGGAGCUCCGAAAUAAACCUCACCUCGUGCGUUUGCAUCAA